rnacentral:rRNA from 1 species
ACGAACGCUGGCGGCGUGCUUAACCCCUGCCAGUCGAACGGAAAGGCCCUGCUUUUGUGGGGUGCUCGAGUGGCGAACGGGUGAGAACACGUGAGUAACCUGCCCUUGACUUUGGGAUAACUUCAGGAAACUGGGGCUAAUACCGGAUAGGAGCUCCUGCUGCAUGGUGGGGGUUGGAAAGUUUCGGCGGUUGGGGAUGGACUCGCGGCUUAUCAGCUUGUUGGUGGGGUAGUGGCUUACCAAGGCUUUGACGGGUAGCCGGCCUGAGAGGGUGACCGGCCACAUUGGGACUGAGAUACGGCCCAGACUCCUACGGGAGGCAGCAGUGGGGAAUAUUGCACAAUGGGCGGAAGCCUGAUGCAGCAACGCCGCGUGCGGGAUGACGGCCUUCGGGUUGUAAACCGCUUUCGCCUGUGACGAAGCGUGAGUGACGGUAAUGGGUAAAGAAGCACCGGCUAACUACGUG